rnacentral:lncRNA from 1 species
AGAUAGAUAGAAACUGGUCACCAAUUGCCAACACUAGACAAGGUUAGAUCAUUCCAAAACUAAAACACACAAUUUUCGCAAUCUGCUUGCCAAAAGGUUAGAUCAUUCCUCUAGUUUAAUCUAAAACGAACAAUAUCGUUAUUGUAUUUUAUAUAGCAAUAGGAGAUUAAUUUGUUCUUCUUGUACAGUUUGAAAAAAGUUUGAGCGUUCAUCCAGUGAAGGUGACGCGUGUAAAUUGGUGUCCAAUUAGGAAGGUUCACAUGGCUUGCCUAGUUUUCGUACGUGGGCCUGUCGGUCAGUGACAUGCAAACUUGAAAAUGCC